AGCGAACGCUGGCGGCAGGCUUAACACAUGCAAGUCGAGCGGGCAUCCUUGUGGUGUCAGCGGAAGACGGGUGAGUAACGCGUGGGAACGUGCCCUUCGGUUCGGAAUAACUCAGGGAAACUUGAGCUAAUACCGGAUACGUGCGAGAGCAGAAAGGUUUAUCUGCCGAAGGAUCGGCCCGCGUCUGAUUAGCUAGUUGGUGAGGUUAUGGCUCACCAAGGCGACGAUCAGUAGCUGGUCUGAGAGGAUGAUCAGCCACACUGGGACUGAGACACGGCCCAGACUCCUACGGGAGGCAGCAGUGGGGAAUAUUGGACAAUGGGGGCAACCCUGAUCCAGCCAUGCCGCGUGAGUGAUGACGGCCUUAGGGUUGUAAAGCUCUUUUCUCCGGGACGAUAAUGACGGUACCGGAGGAAUAAGCCCCGGCUAACUUCGUG
rnacentral:rRNA from 1 species